UACGUAGGUGGCAAGCGUUGUCCGGAUUUACUGGGUGUAAAGGGCGUGUAGCCGGGCUGACAAGUCAGAUGUGAAAUCCGGGGGCUCAACCCCCGAACUGCAUUUGAAACUGUUGGUCUUGAGUAUCGGAGAGGGUGGCGGAAUUCCAGGUGUAGGAGUGAAAUCCGUAGAUAUCUGGAGGAACAUCAGUGGCGAAGGCGGCUUGCUGGACUGUAACUGACGUUGAGGCUCGAAAGCGUGGGGAGCAA
rnacentral:rRNA from 1 species